AGAGUUUGAUCCUGGAUCAGGAUGAACGCUGGCGGCGUGCUUAACACAUGCAAGUCGAACGAACCUUCGGGUUAGUGGCGGACGGGUGAGUAACGCGUGAGAAUCUGCCCUCAGGAGGGGGAUAACAGUUGGAAACGACUGCUAAUACCCCAUAUGCCGAGAGGUGAAAUGAAUUUCGCCUGGGGAUGAGCUCGCGUCUGAUUAGCUUGUUGGUGGGGUAAUAGCCUACCAAGGCUUCGAUCAGUAGCUGGUCUGAGAGGACGAUCAGCCACACUGGGACUGAGACACGGCCCAGACUCCUACGGGAGGCAGCAGUGGGGAAUUUUCCGCAAUGGGCGAAAGCCUGACGGAGCAACGCCGCGUGAGGGAUGGAGGCCUUUGGGCUGUAAACCUCUUUUCUCAAGGAAGAAGAUCUGACGGUACUUGAGGAAUAAGCCACGGCUAAUUCCGUGCCAGCAGCCGCGGUAAUACGGGAGUGGCAAGCGUUAUCCGGAAUUAUUGGGCGUAAAGCGUCCGCAGGCGGCCGUUUAAGUCUGUUGUUAAAUCGUGGAGCUCAACUCCAUCACGGCAAUGGAAACUGUUCGGCUUGAGUAUGGUAGGGGCAGAGGGAAUUUCCGGUGUAGCGGUGAAAUGCGUAGAUAUCGGGAAGAACACCAGUGGCGAAAGCGCUCUGCUGGGCCAUUACUGACGCUCAUGGACGAAAGCCAGGGGAGCGAAAGGGAUUAGAUACCCCUGUAGUCCUGGCCGUAAACGAUGAACACUAGAUGUUGGGGGAAUCGACCCCCUCGGUGUCGUAGCUAACGCGUUAAGUGUUCCGCCUGGGGAGUACGCACGCAAGUGUGAAACUCAAAGGAAUUGACGGGGGCCCGCACAAGCGGUGGAGUAUGUGGUUUAAUUCGAUGCAACGCGAAGAACCUUACCAAGGCUUGACAUCCUGCGAAUCUCUAAGAAAUUAGAGAGUGCCUUCGGGAACGCAGUGACAGGUGGUGCAUGGCUGUCGUCCGCUCGUGUCGUGAGAUGUUGGGUUAAGUCCCGCAACGAGCGCAACCCACGUUUUUAGUUGCCAGCAUUCAGUUGGGCACUCUAGAAAGACUGCCGGUGACAAACCGGAGGAAGGUGUGGACGACGUCAAGUCAUCAUGCCCCUUACGCCUUGGGCUACACACGUACUACAAUGCUGCGGACAAAGAGUAGCGAUCUUGCGAAAGUUAGCUAAUCUCAUAAACCGUGGCUCAGUUCAGAUCGUAGGCUGCGACUCGCCUACGUGAAGGAGGAAUCGCUAGUAAUCGCAGGUCAGCAUACUGCGGUGAAUACGUUCCCGGGCCUUGUACACACCGCCCGUCACACCAUGGAAGUUGGCCAUGCCCGAAGUCGUUACUCUAACCUUUUGGAAGAGGGCGCCGAAGGCAGGGCUAAUGACUGGGGUGAAGUCGUAACAAGGUAACC
rnacentral:rRNA from 1 species